AUUGAACGCUGGCGGCAGGCCUAACACAUGCAAGUCGAGCGGAUGAAGGGAGCUUGCUCCUGGAUUCAGCGGCGGACGGGUGAGUAAUGCCUAGGAAUCUGCCUGGUAGUGGGGGAUAACGUCCGGAAACGGGCGCUAAUACCGCAUACGUCCUGAGGGAGAAAGUGGGGGAUCUUCGGACCUCACGCUAUCAGAUGAGCCUAGGUCGGAUUAGCUAGUUGGUGGGGUAAAGGCCUACCAAGGCGACGAUCCGUAACUGGUCUGAGAGGAUGAUCAGUCACACUGGAACUGAGACACGGUCCAGACUCCUACGGGAGGCAGCAGUGGGGAAUAUUGGAAGAUGGGCGAAAGCCUGAUCCAGCCAUGCCGCGUGUGUGAAGAAGGUCUUCGGAUUGUAAAGCACUUUAAGUUGGGAGGAAGGGCAGUAAGUUAAUACCUUGCUGUUUUGACGUUACCAACAGAAUAAGCACCGGCUAACUUCGU
rnacentral:rRNA from 1 species